rnacentral:lncRNA from 1 species
AACCUAAUAGCCCAAAGAUUAGAUAAAGUCGACCUUCUUGCCCAAAAAUUUGAUCAGUUUCUAGCAUUAGGUCAAUAAUCUCCUGCACAAUACACACCACCACUUAAUUAUCAGGAGAUUUGUUCUAUUUGUGCUAGCCUGGCCCAUCAUGUGAGUGAAUAUCCCAUGACUGCACAGUUUCCAUCUUUCAUCCAAGAACAAGUUCAAGCUACUCAAGGUUACUCUAGUCCUAUUAAUGAUUUAUUCUUA